rnacentral:rRNA from 1 species
CAAUAGCGUAUAUUUAAGUUGUUGCAGUUAAAAAGCUCGUAGUCGGAUUUUGGCUGAGAACGAACGGUCCGCCGUCAGGUGUGCACUGUUUGGUCUCAGCUUCCUGGUGAGGAGGUGUGCUUCACGGCCACUUAGUCACCGUGGUUACUUUGAAAAAAUUAGAGUGUUCAAAGCGGGCUUACGCUUGAAUAUAUUAGCAUGGAAUAACACCAUAGGACUCCUGUCCUAUUUCGUUGGUCUCGGGACGGGAGUAAUGAUUAAGAGGAACAGUUGGGGGCAUUCGUAUUUCAUUGUCAGAGGUGAAAUUCUUGGAUUUAUGAAAGACGAACUUCUGCGAAAGCAUUUGCCAAGGAUGUUUUCAUUG